rnacentral:rRNA from 1 species
GAGUAACACGUAAGGAAUCUGCCUUCAAGUUCGGAAUAGCUCUGCUAACGCGGAAUUAAUGCCGGAUGUGGUCGUGUAGCCGCAUGGCUAUAUGACUAAAGGUGACCUCUUCGUCUGAAAGUUACCGCUUGAAGAUGACCUUGCGGCCCAUUAGCUAGUUGGCGGGGUAACGGCCCACCAAGGCUGCGAUGGGUAGCCGGCCUGAGAGGGUGAUCGGCCACAUUGGGACUGAGAUACGGCCCAGACUCCUACGGGAGGCAGCAGUAGGGAAUUUUGCGCAAUGGGCGAAAGCCUGACGCAGCAACGCCGCGUGAGGGAUGAAGGUCUUCGGAUUGUAAACCUCUGUUGAGUGGGAAGAAACGUACCGAGGCAAAUAACCUCGGUGCCUGACGGUACCAUUCGAGGAAGCCCCGGCUAACUACGUGCCAGCAGCCGCGGUAAUACGUA